CUUUUUUAGAUACAAGGUACUUUGAUCUCAAGAACUUUAAGAAAUCUUUGUGACUGAACAAACAAACUAGGUAUGGAUGUUGUAUGUUUUGAAUGUCAGUAAGUUAUAUGUGGGACUAGUUCUGAAAUGACACCUUGGAGCAUAUCAUAACUUGGACUUAUGGGGGUUGGGUUGGCCAGAAAGAUAGUCAAGAAUGGGGUCAGUGAUUUGGCAAGUACACCACAGCAACUGGAAUGGCAUAAAGCUCUGGCAGUGGCAAAUGGUACUAAGGCCCUAGCUAUCAGGCCACAGAAAAAGAUAACAGAAUGUGAGUGGAUACCAUCAGAUAGGCAGAAUUCAAUCAGAAGACUGGUAAGAGAGAAAUGGGUAGGGUGGGCCCUUGUCCUGGAAGAAUAUAAAUUCUAGGCAGAGAGCCAAGGCAAGUGCCUUAUGCUUGUAUAAUAUUUUUCAUUUACAGUGUAUAUUUGAAAGCAUCGAUUCAAUAAAUUCUCACAACAGCACAUUGAGCGUCAUAACAGUGGUGAGACACAUGUGUUAUCAUUCUGCUUCUGGAUGAAAGCCCUGUGACUCAGAAAAGUUUAGUAACUUGAUCAAAGUUACAGAGACAACAGAAGCAGAGCCAGGCCUCAAACUCAGGUCUUCUGAUGCCAAAGCCAGCAUUCUUUCUUGUACACCACAACUGGCAUCUGGAACCUUCUUCUGUUUGUAGAUCUGGGAAAAUUAAACCAAGAUGCAUGAUCAGACAAUUUCUUUAUAAAAGGUGGUGCUAGUGAGAAGGAAAUGGCAACCCACUCCAGUGUUCUUGUCUGGAGAAUCCCAGGGACGGGGGAGCCUGGUGGGCUGCUAUCUAUGGGGUUGCACAGAGUCGGACACGACUGAAGCGACUUAGCAGCAGCAGCAGCAGCAGUGGUAAAGAAUCCAUUUGCCAGUGCAGGAGAUAUAAAAGACACAGGUUCGAUCCCUGGGUUGGGAAGACCCUCUGGGGAAGAAAAUGGCAACCCACUCCAGUAUUCUUGCCUAGAGAAUCCUAUGGACAGAAGAGCCUGAUGGGCUACAGUCCAUGGAGUUGCAAAGAACUGGACAUGACUGAGCAACUUAGCAUGCACACUAACACACAAACAAAUACCCAAUACUUUCCCACUGUGGAAAAAAAAAAAAAAUUCACGCAAUAGAUUAAAUGAAAAGACAGCAAAAAUCAAAUGACUCAAACUGUGAUCGUCCAGAAAUAGUCAUUCAAAAAAUUUUGGUUGGUAUCCUAAUUUGUAUGACCCUGAAUAAAUGAGAUCAAACUAUAAAUGCUGGUUUAUAAACUGCCCUAAAAAAAAAAACAACCCUCUUUAAUGAGUGUAGGCAUCUUUUCCAACAAAAACUGUUAAUUUAGAAUAAUCUUUUGUAUGUCAUAUUCCAUUGUAUAUGUAUUCCACUGUAUAUAUGUAUAUAUUCCAUUGUUUCAUAAAUAUAUUCAUUUCCUGAUGGACAUUUAAGCUAUUUCUAAUUCAUUACAAUUAAAGAUGAAGGAUGUCAAGUCAUAUCUAAGCUUACAAAUGUAUUCAAAAUCACUCAGUGUUUUCUUAGUUGAUUAAGAGGCAGUCAGUAAAUACACUUUGAUAAUUAGGCUUUCACUGCAAUGGUCUAGUUUCUUUUGCAUUUGCAAAAGAUAACUUCAUUGUGACCAUUAUUUUCCUGAAAGAUGGCAACUUAUACUUAAUCACCAUAUCAAAAAAUUAAUUUCAUACUAUUAGAGAUGAGAAGGUAAAAUAAAGUAUCCUUUCCUCAGCUGAAACUAUUAUAGUUAUUUCUAAUUAAACCAUCUCUGAUGCACAUGAUAAAACAUGUACUGGCUUCUCAUCUCAUUUGAAUAUGAAGUUUCGUUGUCACUCAUUUUAGCAGCUCUUUGUUUUACUUAAGUCAAUAAUACCUUUGACUUGAGCUGACACCAUCUCUUCUUGUUAACCAUUGACUGCAGUUCUGCGUAGCUUGAGUUGGAUGAAUAAAAAUAAAAGACAAAUAUUCCUGUAAAUUAAAAAAGUUUAAUUAAAAAAUUUAAAAUCCCAAGCAGGUUAAAGCAAUAUUAUUAAGUAAUUUUAAAAAAAUGUUCUGGGAAUGAAUUUAUAGAACGUUUUUUCUUUUAUCCAGCUUUUACAUUGUAUAGUGUCUGGGACCAUGUGGACAUUAAAUAAAUAUUUGUUGAAGAAAUGAGUGAAUGGGUGAAUGAAUGAAGUACUUUCAAUUUGUGACUUAAAUAUUGGCAUAUAUCUGACUCCAUAGAGCCAGUUUUUUCUACAAUUCAAAUAAUCUGUGUGCAUUAUCGUAGAAUUGCUAUUUCUGUACUUACAAGGUGAAUAUCUUUUGCUGAACAUAGCUCACCAUUUUUUUUUUUUUUAAUCAUUCUCAAGAUCUGUUGAAUUUGGAAGACAUCUGCAAACUGUCCCUUGGGACAAAUCUAGCCUGCUGCCUGUGAGCUAAAAAUGAUUUUUUAAAACAUUUUAAAAUGGUUGAAAAAAAUCAAAAGAAGAAUAUUGUUUGAUAGAUGAAAUUAUAUACAAUUUAAAUCUUAUAAAUAAAAUUUCAUUAGAAUGCCAUGAUUACUUUUGUGCUACAAUGUACUGGUGAGGAGUGGCCCACAGAGCCUAAAAUAUUUACUGUCUCGCCCUUCACAAAAAUGUUUGCCAACUCCUAGUUUAGGUCUGUUUUAGUCAGUUUCAGGUACUAUAGUAGAAUGAUAUGUUCCUAAAAAAAUAUGUUCUUAGCAUAAAGUAAGCAUGGCUAUUACAAUUUACCAAAUAUUAAAUUUUUACAAUCAUUUUUUUUCUGUUUUUAGGAGCUAUGGCUGAGAUAAGACUUUUAAAAAUCUUAUCAAUAUCCCAGCAGUCAAUUUACUGCUUUGAAAUCUGUAGAAAUUAGUUGCAAAUAAAAUCUUGAUUUCAACCUUAC
ensembl:lncRNA